rnacentral:rRNA from 1 species
CGUAGGGUGCGAGCGUUAAUCGGAAUUACUGGGCGUAAAGCGUGCGCAGGCGGUUUUGUAAGACAGAUGUGAAAUCCCCGGGCUCAACCUGGGACCUGCAUUUGUGACUGCAAGGCUAGAGUACGGUAGAGGGGGAUGGAAUUCCGCGUGUAGCAGUGAAAUGCGUAGAUAUGCGGAGGAACACCGAUGGCCGAAGGCAAUCCCCCUGGACCUGUACUGACGCUCAUGCACGAAAGCGUGGGGAGCAAACAGGAUUAGAUACCCUGGUAGUCCACGCCCUAAACGAUGUCAACUGGUUGUUGGGUCUUUACUGACUCAGUAACGAAGCUAACGCGUGAAGUUGACCGCCUGGGGAGUACGGCCGCAAGGUUG